CUGUUAGCGUUAAAAGGGGCGUGAAGUUUGCUGCUAGCAACUAGCUAACCUAGCUCCUGAUCAUCUUGGAUCUGGUUUAUUCUUGGCGGCGUCCUCCAGAAACGAAAAACGAAUUUGUAGAGCGAGUACUAUUUGCGAUAGACACUGUUGUAGUUUCUUCUGUGAGACGUAAAAGCUACUAGGUUAACGGACAGGACCAUUUAGUUUGUGAAAUGUUGACCCAGCUGCUCUGUGGACAUAGCAUUGUGGCUAUCGGCGUUACUGCUAACUUAGCUAGUUAGCCUAGCAGGGUAGAUAGUUAGGCUGCUAGCUGUGGAUGAAACUAGCUAGCUAGCGAGGAGCCUAACAUGACACUGGCUUGAAUUAGCUAGAAGCUAGACUCACGUAAUGAGAAUCACUUAACGCCAGCGUCGUUAUGUUAACGUCAGCUACAUUAUAAUCGAUUUGUUUUGCACUUAAAGUCAACAGUUGGUCAUGGCUACCGAUAAUUAGCUAAUUGAACGCGCUAACAUGCAGUGCUAGCUAAGCAUAGUAGCGUUUCAGUCGUCACGUAGCUACUGCUGCCCUGCACCAGCAAAAGGGUCGGUAGCCUGCAGACACAGGGCAUUGUGCGGUAUGUAGCAAUGGUAUGCUAACCACCCACAGUUGGUCAUAGCACAUGCCAGUUCUGGCAGACCACACAGUCAUGAUAUGUAGAAUUAUAGAAAUAGCGUUGUUAUGAUUAACAGCCAGGUUUAAAGCGCUUUAACACCGAAGUUAUACAGGAGACAGGGCCUUGCGGUUUUGCAGUGGGUUUAAUGUUACAUUUCGUUAGCUAGCUAGGUUGUCUAACGUCAGCUUAGUUGCCUGAUUGAUGAUGUUUCUUCAGAAUAUGUAAAGUCAGCAAAGUUUGGAGAGCAACAAUGUAACACAACUGAGCUGGUUAGCCAUUUUAAGUUCAUUAAUUAGUGGCGGGCAGCGUUAGCUAGCAAAAUGAACAAUUCAGGAGUCUUGCCCCAAGAAAAGAUGGAACUGGAUCUGGAAAUACCAUCUUCGUUAGCUCAGGGCGAUGGACACUUGAGAAGAUCCAACAGUGCACCCAUGAUAAAUGGCCUAAGUGAUAACUCCCAGGUAUUCCAGAGAGAGGUCCUGCGUAGCCGGAGAAACAGCACCACAGUUGUCAACAGGCCCAACAUGGUCCCUUCAUCACCUGUUCGCGUCCCCAGCACCAGACUUCAUCAGAUAAAACAAGAGGAGGGUGUGGAUGUGAUGAACAGAGAAACUGCCCAUGAGCGGGAGGUUCAAGCUGCCAUGCAAAUGAGCCAGUCCUGGGAAGAAAGCAUGAGUCUGAGUGACAAUGAUUUGGAGAAGUCGGCAUCUUCGUCUCCAAAGCGCGUCGACUUUGUGCCUGUGUCGCCUGCACCAUCUCCAACAAGAGGGAUAGGAAAAAAGCAGUGUUUCUCUCCCUCGCUGCAAAUCCUCGUGAGCAGCAAUGGCCUGACACCCAGCCCAGUACCCAGCCCAACACGCCGCUUCAGCCGACGGAGUCAAAGCCCAAUCAACUGCAUAAGAGCCAGCAUACUCGGGCCAAUGAAACGCAAAGGCGAGAUGGAGACAGAGAGUCAGCCGAAGAGGCUCUUCCAGGGCACCACCACCAUGCUGUCCUCCGAUGUCUCCAGCCUGUCAGAGCUCAGUUCCUGGUAAGACUUGGGGGAUCAACAACAAAAUGUCAGAACAACCGUUCAAAAGCACACUGUUUAGUCACUCUCCAGAUUUGCUGGAGGGCAGCCUCAGCAGCGUGGGAUCCUCCACAGACUCGCCAGGCAAGAUGGAGGGAGUGUCGCCGUCCUCGUCCAGCAACUCGCCCUUUGCUUCCCUCCAGGAUUUGUCCCCAAAGUGAGCAUGGGCUAGACAGACGCUAAAAGGGACAAUUGCCAAAACUCCCCUCUCCAGGGAACCAGUUUCCUUCCAUUUCAAGAUCACCUAGAUUUAAAUGGAAGUUUCCAUGUUUGCUUUUGAGCGGCUGUUUUCGUGGCUACAUUUUGGAGGGUGUAAGAUAUGUUUGAAUUAAGGAAACGAAAGCCAUGGAUUAGUUUUAGUGUGGAAGAGGUAAGCCUAGUGAAACUAGCAAUGACUGAGAGACACGGCACCAGCUGCUAAUACAGGAUCUGGGAUGGUGCUUGGCUUCAUAGUGAUAGUGGUCAUUAGUGGCUCUGCUUUUGUCUUACCAGUUCCCCUCGCUACAGAGAGACAUUAAGCACUGGACAGAA